GCCGGGCACGCUGGUGUGUGCCUGUAAUCCCAAUGAUUCGGGAGGCUGAGGCAGGAGGAUUGAAGGUUAGAGGCUAGCCUCAGCAACUUAGCAAGACCCUGUCUCAA
rnacentral:sRNA from 1 species